AUUGAACGCUGGCGGCAGGCCUAACACAUGCAAGUCGAACGGUAACAGGAAGCAGCUUGCUGCUUCGCUGACGAGUGGCGGACGGGUGAGUAAUGUCUGGGAAGCUGCCUGAUGGAGGGGGAUAACUACUGGAAACGGUAGCUAAUACCGCAUAAUGUCGCAAGACCAAAGAGGGGGACCUUCGGGCCUCUUGCCAUCGGAUGUGCCCAGAUGGGAUUAGCUUGUUGGUGGGGUAACGGCUCACCAAGGCGACGAUCCCUAGCUGGUCUGAGAGGAAGACCAGCCACAGGGGAUGGAAGACACGGCCCACACACCGAGGGGAGGCACGAGUGGGGAAUAUUGCAAAAGGGGCGCAAGCCUGAUGCAGCCAUGCCGGGUGUAGGAAGAAGGCCUGGGGUUUGAAAAGUACUUUGGGCGGGGGGGAAGGAAGAAAAGUUAAUCCCUUCGCUCAUGGACGUUCCCCGAAGAAGAAGCCCCGGCAAACCCCGUG
rnacentral:rRNA from 1 species